GGAAGAUUGCUUGAGCUCAGGGGGUGGAAGCUGCAGUGAAUUCUGAUCACGCCACUGCACUCCAGCCUGAGUGACAGAGCAAGGCCCUGUCUCA
rnacentral:miRNA from 1 species